rnacentral:rRNA from 1 species
GGGUUGUGAGGUUAAGCGACUAAGCGUACACGGUGGAUGCCCUGGCAGUCAGAGGCGAUGAAGGACGUGCUAAUCUGCGAUAAGCGUCGGUAAGGUGAUAUGAACCGUUAUAACCGGCGAUUUCCGAAUGGGGAAACCCAGUGUGAUUCGUCACACUAUCAUUAACUGAAUCCAUAGGUUAAUGAGGCGAACCGGGGGAACUGAAACAUCUAAGUACCCCGAGGAAAAGAAAUCAACCGAGAUUCCCCCAGUAGCGGCGAGCGAACGGGGAGCAGCCCAGAGCCUGAAUCAGUGUGUGUGUUAGUGGAAGCGUCUGGAAAGGCGUGCGAUACAGGGUGACAGCCCCGUACACAAAAAUGCACAUAUUGUGAGCUCGAUGAGUAGGGCGGGACACGUGGUAUCCUGUCUGAAUAUGGGGGGACCAUCCUCCAAGGCUAAAUACUCCUGACUGACCGAUAGUGAACCAGUACCGUGAGGGAAAGGCGAAAAGAACCCCGGCGAGGGGAGUGAAAAAGAACCUGAAACCGUGUACGUACAAGCAGUGGGAGCACGCUUAGGCGUGUGACUGCGUACCUUUUGUAUAAUGGGUCAGCGACUUAUAUUCUGUAGCAAGGUUAACCGAAUAGGGGAGCCGAAGGGAAACCGAGUCUUAACUGGGCGUUAAGUUGCAGGGUAUAGACCCGAAACCCGGUGAUCUAGCCAUGGGCAGGUUGAAGGUUGGGUAACACUAACUGGAGGACCGAACCGACUAAUGUUGAAAAAUUAGCGGAUGACUUGUGGCUGGGGGUGAAAGGCCAAUCAAACCGGGAGAUAGCUGGUUCUCCCCGAAAGCUAUUUAGGUAGCGCCUCGUGAAUUCAUCUCCGGGGGUAGAGCACUGUUUCGGCAAGGGGGUCAUCCCGACUUACCAACCCGAUGCAAACUGCGAAUACCGGAGAAUGUUAUCACGGGAGACACACGGCGGGUGCUAACGUCCGUCGUGAAGAGGGAAACAACCCAGACCGCCAGCUAAGGUCCCAAAGUCAUGGUUAAGUGGGAAACGAUGUGGGAAGGCCCAGACAGCCAGGAUGUUGGCUUAGAAGCAGCCAUCAUUUAAAGAAAGCGUAAUAGCUCACUGGUCGAGUCGGCCUGCGCGGAAGAUGUAACGGGGCUAAACCAUGCACCGAAGCUGCGGCAGCGACACUAUGUGUUGUUGGGUAGGGGAGCGUUCUGUAAGCCUGUGAAGGUGUACUGUGAGGUAUGCUGGAGGUAUCAGAAGUGCGAAUGCUGACAUAAGUAACGAUAAAGCGGGUGAAAAGCCCGCUCGCCGGAAGACCAAGGGUUCCUGUCCAACGUUAAUCGGGGCAGGGUGAGUCGACUCCUAAGGCGAGGCCGAAAGGCGUAGUCGAUGGGAAACAGGUUAAUAUUCCUGUACUUGGUGUUACUGCGAAGGGGGGACGGAGAAGGCUAUGUUGGCCGGGCGACGGUUGUCCCGGUUUAAGCGUGUAGGCUGGUUUUCCAGGCAAAUCCGGAAAACUAAGGCUGAGGCGUGAUGACGAGGCACUACGGUGCUGAAGCAACAAAUGCCCUGCUUCCAGGAAAAGCCUCUAAGCAUCAGGUAACAUCAAAUCGUACCCCAAACCGACACAGGUGGUCAGGUAGAGAAUACCAAGGCGCUUGAGAGAACUCGGGUGAAGGAACUAGGCAAAAUGGUGCCGUAACUUCGGGAGAAGGCACGCUGAUAUGUAGGUGAAGUCCCUCGCGGAUGGAGCUGAAAUCAGUCGAAGAUACCAGCUGGCUGCAACUGUUUAUUAAAAACACAGCACUGUGCAAACACGAAAGUGGACGUAUACGGUGUGACGCCUGCCCGGUGCCGGAAGGUUAAUUGAUGGGGUCAGCGCAAGCGAAGCUCUUGAUCGAAGCCCCGGUAAACGGCGGCCGUAACUAUAACGGUCCUAAGGUAGCGAAAUUCCUUGUCGGGUAAGUUCCGACCUGCACGAAUGGCGUAAUGAUGGCCAGGCUGUCUCCACCCGAGACUCAGUGAAAUUGAACUCGCUGUGAAGAUGCAGUGUACCCGCGGCAAGACGGAAAGACCCCGUGAACCUUUACUAUAGCUUGACACUGAACAUUGAGCCUUGAUGUGUAGGAUAGGUGGGAGGCUUUGAAGUGUGGACGCCAGUCUGCAUGGAGCCGACCUUGAAAUACCACCCUUUAAUGUUUGAUGUUCUAACGUUGACCCGUAAUCCGGGUUGCGGACAGUGUCUGGUGGGUAGUUUGACUGGGGCGGUCUCCUCCUAAAGAGUAACGGAGGAGCACGAAGGUUGGCUAAUCCUGGUCGGACAUCAGGAGGUUAGUGCAAUGGCAUAAGCCAGCUUGACUGCGAGCGUGACGGCGCGAGCAGGUGCGAAAGCAGGUCAUAGUGAUCCGGUGGUUCUGAAUGGAAGGGCCAUCGCUCAACGGAUAAAAGGUACUCCGGGGAUAACAGGCUGAUACCGCCCAAGAGUUCAUAUCGACGGCGGUGUUUGGCACCUCGAUGUCGGCUCAUCACAUCCUGGGGCUGAAGUAGGUCCCAAGGGUAUGGCUGUUCGCCAUUUAAAGUGGUACGCGAGCUGGGUUUAGAACGUCGUGAGACAGUUCGGUCCCUAUCUGCCGUGGGCGCUGGAGAACUGAGGGGGGCUGCUCCUAGUACGAGAGGACCGGAGUGGACGCAUCACUGGUGUUCGGGUUGUCAUGCCAAUGGCACUGCCCGGUAGCUAAAUGCGGAAGAGAUAAGUGCUGAAAGCAUCUAAGCACGAAACUUGCCCCGAGAUGAGUUCUCCCUGACUCCUUGAGAGUCCUGAAGGAACGUUGAAGACGACGACGUUGAUAGGCCGGGUGUGUAAGCGCAGCGAUGCGUUGAGCUAACCGGUACUAAUGAACCGUGAGGCUUAACCUUACAACGCCGAAGG